GCGCCGCCCAUUUCCAUGUCACUCUCCCGAGGGGCUCGUGCGGGGAUUUGGGGGAGGCCCGUGGGCAUUGUGGGGGUGAACUGGGAGACUGGCCACGAGGUCCGAGUUACAGAUAAAUUCACAGAGAGUGUUUACGUCCUGGCCAACGAGCCAUCCGUGGCACUGUAUCGCCUACAGGAACAUGUGAGGCGCUCCCUGCCGGAGUUAGCCCAACAUAAGUCUGACAUGCAGAACUGGGAGGAACAGAGCCAGGGAGCCAUAUAUACAGUGGAGUACGCCUGCAGUGCUGUGAAGAAUCUGAUGGAUAGCAACGUUCAUUUCCGAAGCAUUGAGGGCUUGCUGAAGCAGGCCAUCAGCAUCAAGGACCAGCUGAAUACUUCUCAGGGUCGAAGCCCUUCUGCCCCGAAGCCUCCUUCCUUGGCCUGAUUUUUGGAUGAGGCAAAUCUUUCUCCACCUUCCCAGGCGAGGGCCUUGAGGAAGAAGAGACGCCAGGGCCCACAGGAAGAGGCAGAGCCAGGACUGGGUCCGGAGUCUACCCCUGAUGCUCCAGGUGUGGACUCCGUGUGCCAUACCAUGAUUGAGGAUCGUGGAAUUUAGAGCUGGCGAAGAGUAGAAAUGGCGCUUGAUGAUCUCCACAUUCCUUUGGCAGCAAAGGCCCCCAGAAGACCAGUCAGGCUCAGAAGUCAGAAGCCAGAAGCACCAAGGAAGAGAAAAGGUCCCUUAUCAUGCCAGCACUGGUUCCAACCCCCCUUGACUCAGAGGUUCCUGUGACCUCAAUGGGUGUGUGUCAGAUUGGUCCGUAAUAUGAGCAGAAGACAUUUCUAAAAACCCUA